rnacentral:rRNA from 1 species
AUUGAACGCUGGCGGCAGGCCUAACACAUGCAAGUCGAGCGGUAACAGAUCUAGCUUGCUAGAUGCUGACGAGCGGCGGACGGGUGAGUAAUGCAUAGGAAUCUGCCCGGUAGUGGGGGAUAACCUGGGGAAACCCAGGCUAAUACCGCAUACGUCCUACGGGAGAAAGGGGGCUUNGGCUCCCGCUAUUGGAUGAGCCUAUGUCGGAUUAGCUAGUUGGUGAGGUAAUGGCUCACCAAGGCAACGAUCCGUAGCUGGUCUGAGAGGAUGAUCAGCCACAUCGGGACUGAGACACGGCCCGAACUCCUACGGGAGGCAGCAGUGGGGAAUAUUGGACAAUGGGGGCAACCCUGAUCCAGCCAUGCCGCGUGUGUGAAGAAGGCCCUCGGGUUGUAAAGCACUUUCAGCGAGGAAGAACGCCUAGUGGUUAAUACCCAUUAGGAAAGACAUCACUCGCAGAAGAAGCACCGGCUAACUCCGUGCCAGCAGCCGCGGUAAUACGGAGGGUGCAAGCGUUAAUCGGAAUUACUGGGCGUAAAGCGCGCGUAGGUGGCUUGAUAAGCCGGUUGUGAAAGCCCCGGGCUCAACCUGGGAACGGCAUCCGGAACUGUCAGGCUAGAGUGCAGGAGAGGAAGGUAGAAUUCCCGGUGUAGCGGUGAAAUGCGUAGAGAUCGGGAGGAAUACCAGUGGCGAAGGCGGCCUUCUGGACUGACACUGACACUGAGGUGCGAAAGCGUGGGUAGCAAACAGGAUUAGAUACCCUGGUAGUCCACGCCGUAAACGAUGUCGACCAGCCGUUGGGUGCCUAGAGCACUUUGUGGCGAAGUUAACGCGAUAAGUCGACCGCCUGGGGAGUACGGCCGCAAGGUUAAAACUCAAAUGAAUUGACGGGGGCCCGCACAAGCGGUGGAGCAUGUGGUUUAAUUCGAUGCAACGCGAAGAACCUUACCUACCCUUGACAUCUACAGAAGCCGGAAGAGAUUCUGGUGUGCCUUCGGGAACUGUAAGACAGGUGCUGCAUGGCUGUCGUCAGCUCGUGUUGUGAAAUGUUGGGUUAAGUCCCGUAACGAGCGCAACCCUUGUCCUUAUU